UUAAGUUCAGCGGGUAGUCUCACCCGAUUUGAGGUCAAGGGUUCGUGGGGGUCGAGGGAGCUUCCCGAGAAGGGAGACGUGCUCGAACGUUGUCUCGACGCAAGGUCCAGACGGUUAGAAGCGGGUCCCAAAAGUGACAGAGCCAGAAACCAAGACAUGGAAACAUCUUAUCACACGUCAAGGAUCGGCAAAGAGGACCC
rnacentral:misc_RNA from 1 species